CUGGGGGGUGCUGCGUCUCGGGGGGUGCUGCGCCUGGGUUUCCUGUUGUUCCACAGGCACUGAAGGUCCCAGGGCUGAUCUGUCCACCUGGAACCAGCUGGGGCUAUAGCCACACCGGGCUGUGCUCCAGCUUCUGAGGCCUCUGCUGGGGAGUCCCCGAGAGCCCUCUGAGCUCUGCCUUUCGCACGGUCUCUCUAGCAGGUGGAGAGGGGAUGCUGGUGGCUGAGAACCACUGCGGGGCGGGGUGGACAGUGUGAGCCUGGGCUCUCAACACCAGCCAUGCAUUUCGGCAUCCCUAAUUCUUUGUUUUGCCUUUAAUCUUUAUUAAAUUACUGUCGAAACUAACUCACUCUUCAUAAUUUUCACAAAGUAGUCUAGGUGAAAUAAAACAGACUUUGGAGCCAGAAGAAUCGAAAUAAAAUUCUCAUUUCCCAAUUACUUGCUGUGCUACCUGGUACAAAUGACUUGGCCUGUCUGAGCCUGUCUGCAUUUUUAAAAGGAAGUAACGACACCUGCCUCAUGAUACAGCUGAAAGGACUAAGUUAGAUGAAAUGUCUCUGGUCCUGAGCAGGGCACCAGUGGUGCCCACGGUGCCGGUUACUGGGGUGAGUGUCACUUGUGUUGAACUGAGCAGGGGGCCAAGCGCCAGUCCUGGGCUGUAUCUGUAUCUCCACGGAAGAUCAAAACGUGGGGGCCGAGGAGUCCUCUAUGGAUUGUUUCUUCUGAACAGAAACAGUGUGUGAAGUCAAGCGGGGGAGCCCUCCCUUUCCAGAAGCGAGUCAUUGAAGAAAUGCCCCUGUGCGGACUCCCCACACGUUAGCACUGGCGGCCAGGCCGGCCUCCCAUGGAGAGCCCCUCUUCAGAGCCACCUUGCCCCCAUUUCCCCCUCAACUGCUCAGCUCACUGGGGAGGAAGGCAGCGAAGUUGUAAAAACUUACUUUUUGGAAAAAUAAGAAUUAUGGGGAAGGACAUUAAUUUAAAAGCUUUUAAGGAGCCAAUUCACCUGUGAAAGUGCUCCCCAGGUGAGGGCCUUCCUGUGUGGAGAACAGCCCGGUCUUUAAAAGCAUUUUAAUUAAUGUUGCUGAGAAACACGCUGAUGGUAUUUAAGUCUGAAGAGCAAAGGUACCAGCCAAGAGUUUUAUGACGUGGUGCUAGUUCUCUUAAAGGCUGUUGAAAUAAUGUUCCCGUGCACUCAGCCUCCCCACUUAGUGCGGGUGGCGGCCAAGAGGAAGUGCUGGAAUCCUCGGUGGCCUAACCCCGGCCCUCAGGACAGAACAGAAGGCAGGCGGCCCCGGCCAGGACAUGCCCAGUGGAAUUUCAGAGGCACUUUCGGGAACACAGCGCCUUCGCACCUUCUGCUCGGUACACACCUCGAGGGGUGGCAGCCAGCUCUUGGCGGCCCACCCAGCACCCUGAAGCCUGAACUGCCUGGACUGUCGCUGAGCAAAUGCCAGGGCCCGAAGAGGACCUGGAAGAGGGCGGGUGAGGGGCUGCAGGCGUGUGGGGCCUGGAUGAUCCCAUCUUGACGACGAGCUGGGAACCGCAGACCGGUGUCAUCCUGGCUGGAGAUGGAGGUCUCUACAUGGCUCCCUGUGUGGCCAGACCACUGUGGCUGGACCAGAGUUUCCCGAUAGCCUCUGGGAAUGGCAGGGACAGUGGGGGAGGAGGUCCCAGGGGAUUUUAUUAACAGAAGGGGGGAGAGAGGGUAGAGAAAGGUAAUGGGAACAAGUAGCUGAAAAUAUGCCCUGGAGAGCAGGGGAGGAGGCUGAGCAGGCAACUUCAAAAGGGAUGGAAGAAAAUGGGGGCUGCGGAGAGUUGAAGAGUGACCCCAAAAGAUAUGUCCAUCCAGAACCUCAGAAUGUGACCUUGUUUGGAAUAAGGGCUUUUGAGGAUAUAAUUCAGCAGCCCGGGGGCACAGGCACGCAGAAGAGACUUUCCCACAGCGGUUCCCAGAGCCCUGGAUGAGGCGUCCUCCAAAGGAUUAUGUCACCAAGUUUCUGCAGGUGGGCACGGCCUGACGACUGGAUUGUCCAACAAAACACAGAAAGUGUAGACAAGAGAACAGCAGAAAGUGACGCCUGCAGCCACAGAGAUGUGCUCCCAGUCUCCCUCUUUUCUGACUGCUGGGGGUGCACACCACAGCGAGGCCCAAGGGCUGUGAUGGAGGCCUAGGAUGGAAGGUGGCUGGUCCCUGAAUUACUUCUAGGAGAGGCACCAUCUGCUGAGCAGGAACCCCUGCCUGGGACAGUUGCAAGAACAAGAAAUCAGCUCCUUUUGUGCCAGAACCAGUAUGCAUGUUGAGGUCCAAUCCUACAGUUAGUGAUGUGGUAACAGAAAUGAGCUUUGUGCUUCCAUGCCCUGGGCAACUGCAGGCAGCUGAGGCCCCCAUCUGCAGGUGGUCUCUGCAGGCAGAGGGUUUCUGGUGAAGGGCCCUAUGGGGUUUCUGAUGAGGGCCCCACAGAAACCAGAAUCUCUUCCCUGCUGCUUAUUUCAAAUUCUGCUCGGUUGUCCCUUCCAGGCCAGGCGGGUAAUCUUGCUUGUGGCCACACUCCUCUUCCUGGGACCUGAGCCUGCCCUCCUGCUCCUGAGUAGUUCAUUGUGAUGCUGUCUGCUGUGGCUGUGGAGUGCUACGCGCUGGCCAGCCUGAGGGCGACCUGUACCGCCUUGGCCAAACCCUUUACCCCACUGAGAGAUACCUCCCUCAUCUGCAGCGAGAGUCCCUACCUUGUAGGGCAGUGUGAAGGAUGUCCUGAGAUGGUCAGGACUUAGCACCCUGUAAGCACAAGAGCUGUUCUUGGUGGCGUUAUGAUCACACCCACAGAUAGGGCCUCAGGCAGGCCUCAGUGUCCUCCUGGCUGGCCACGUGCUACGGAUGUCCCCAUGCACUUGAUGUGUCAGCAGCAGAAGGACCUUCAGGAGGAGGCAACGAUGGGAUGAGACGAGGCUCAAAGGAGGAUGUUGCCGCGCAGAGACGUUUCGGGAAUAUGAGGCAGGUCACCACCUAUGAUUCUUGUGGUAGUGGAGGAAUGGUGGCGGCUGUCAUUGUGACACCCACUUUAGAGACAGGAAACUGAGCUUCAGAGAGGGGGAGUCCAGGCCCCACAGCACACAGCCAGGAAAGGGCCGGGCAGAAGGGGCUUUGGGUUUUAACCUAACUCACCCCGACUGCCUGCUUCUUCACCCAGCCAUCAUGGAACGUCUCUGUGCCUCUUCCCUGCUCUCGUGGAGGCCUGGGUCAGGCAGCUGCCCAGAGGCAGACGUGCACUGUGACCCUAGAAGACUGUUCCAGACAGGCCAGCCCAGGCAGAGACAAAACAGGGACCUGCUCCUCAUUGGUGUCACGACCAAAUGCAGGGGAUUUGCUAAGGGAGGCGCAGCCAUGAAUUGGGAGCCAGCUUCGUGCUCUGCCACUCCUUCUUGCUAAUCCCUCGAAAAUCCAAUCAGAGCUGUUUCCCUCCAUGAAACCAACUGGACACAGCACAUACUGGCCGGACCUCUGCCAGCAUGGAGUGGAUCUUUUUUCUGUUUAAAGAACCAGGUUUCAAAUGUUCUUAAUAAAACGUUUAUAUAUAUCAUGCAGGGUGCAAAUAAAUAUUUUAAUAUAAUUGGAAGAAUGUAGAGAAUUGUAAAAAGUUAUGGAAGUUUUACUUCUGAUUGGCCAAGACUCAAUAAACUCUGGUUUGAUGUACUCUAAUUUAUAGGCGUGCAAAGCCAACUCUUUGGCAUCAGAGAGGCCGUUAACGUUGUAAUGAUGUUUAAACGCUGACAAAUGAGCUGCUUGGGCGGCACCUUCAGCCCUGAGAAUGGAACUGUUGGAGCUGGAGGACUUGCCUGUCCCCAGCUUUCUCCCUUCCUCCCGUGCUGGUGGAGCAGGUUAAGGGCAGGAGGACUGUUCAUUGGGGCGACUGCUCCCCAUCGGUUGAGGGGAGGGCACAAAGGGGACCCAUGGCUUCUUUUUCACUGUUGUCCCUAAUUAUGGUCUUUCUCAUUAAAAUAACAAGGACCAUUUCUGCUAGAAACGCUGACACAUGUUUUUACUUUUCUGGGCCGAUGGAAACCACAUGUAGAAUCCAUUCCUUCCUUUUUUCCCUCCAAAAUGCAAAUGGAAGAGCUGGUCCAGGGGGUCCCCGGUUGCCCAGCCCUGAACAGAGGCUUGGGGAAGCCCCCUACUCCCACG
rnacentral:lncRNA from 10 species